UACGGAGGGAGCUAGCGUUGUUCGGAAUUACUGGGCGUAAAGCGCACGUAGGCGGCUUUGUAAGUUAGAGGUGAAAGCCCGGGGCUCAACCCCGGAAUUGCCUUUAAGACUGCAUCGCUUGAAUCCAGGAGAGGUGAGUGGAAUUCCGAGUGUAGAGGUGAAAUUCGUAGAUAUUCGGAAGAACACCAGUGGCGAAGGCGGCUCAUUGGACUGGUAUUGACGCUGAGGUGCGAAAGCGUGGGGAGCAAACAGG
rnacentral:rRNA from 1 species